rnacentral:rRNA from 1 species
CCUACGUGAGGCAGCAGUGAGGAAUAUUGGUCAAUGGACGAGAGUCUGAACCAGCCAAGUAGCGUGAAGGAUGACUGCCCUAUGGGUUGUAAACUUCUUUUAUAAAGGAAUAAAACGAGGCACGUGUGCCUUUUUGCAUGUACUUUAUGAAUAAGGAUAGGCUAACACCGUGCCAGCAGCCGCGGUAAUACGGAGGAUGCGAGCGUUAACCGGAUUGAUUGGGUUUAAAGGGAGCGUAGAGGGGUUGUUAAGUCAGAUGUGAAAGUUUGCGGCUCAACCGUGGAAUUGCAAUUGAUACUGGCAGUCUUGAGUACAGUUGAGGUAGGUAGAAUUCGAGGUGUAGCGGUGAAAUGCUUAGAGAUCUCGAAGAACCCCGAUUGCGAAGGCAGCUUACUAAACUGUGACUGACAUUGAUGCGCGAAAGUGUGGGUAUCAAACAGGAUUAGAUACCCCAGUAGUC